rfam:Daucus carota subsp. sativus cultivar DH1 chromosome 5, whole genome shotgun sequence.
AAACUGAAAAAGGAGCUUCCUUCAGUCCACUCAUGGGCAGGGCAAAGGAUUGAAUUAGCUGCCGACUCAUUCACUCAAACACAGUAGAAACACGCUACUGGGCUGCUGUGAAUGUGUGAAUGAUGCGGGAGAUUAAUAUAACUCCUUUUCUUCUCUUUGCUUGGACUGAAGGGAGCUCCCUUUUCUAUUUAC